rnacentral:rRNA from 1 species
GAUGAACGCUGGCGGCGUGCCUAAUACAUGCAAGUCGAGCGAACAGACGAGGAGCUUGCUCCUCUGACGUUAGCGGCGGACGGGUGAGUAACACGUGGAUAACCUACCUAUAAGACUGGGAUAACUUCGGGAAACCGGAGCUAGUACCGGAUAAUAUAUUGAACCGCAUGGUUCAAUAGUGAAAGACGGUUUUGCUGUCACUUAUAGAUGGAUCCGCGCCGCAUUAGCUAGUUGGUAAGGUAACGGCUUACCAAGGCAACGAUGCGUAGCCGACCUGAGAGGGUAAUCGGCCACACGGGAACGGAGACACGGUCCAGACUCCUACGGGAGGCAGCAGUAGGGAAUCUUCCGCAAUGGGCGAAAGCUUGACGGAGCAACGCCGCGGGAGUGAUGAAGGUCUUCGGAUCGUAAAACUCUGUUAUUAGGGAAGAACAAAUGUGUAAGUAACUAUGCACGUCUGGACGGUACCUAAGCAGAAAGCCACGGCUAACUACGU